GCAUAUCAAUAAGCGGAGGAAAAGAAACCAACAGGGAUUGCCUUAGUAACGGCGAGUGAAGCGGCAACAGCUCAAAUUUGAAAUCUGGUCCCCUUUGGGGGCCCGAGUUGUAAUUUGAAGAGGAUGCUUUUUGCGAGGCGCCGUCCGAGUUCCCUGGAACGGGACGCCGCAGAGGGUGAGAGCCCCGUACGGUCGGACGCCGAGCCUCUGUAAAGCUCCUUCGACGAGUCGAGUAGUUUGGGAAUGCUGCUCAAAAUGGGAGGUAAACCCCUUCUAAAGCUAAAUACUGGCCAGAGACCGAUAGCGCACAAGUAGAGUGAUCGAAAGAUGAAAAGCACUUUGAAAAGAGAGUUAAAAAGCACGUGAAAUUGUUAAAAGGGAAGCGCUUGCGACCAGACUUGCGCCCGUCGGAUCAACCGUCGCUUGCGGCGGCGCACUCCGGCGGGCUCAGGCCAGCAUCAGUUCGUCCGGGGGGAGAAAGGCGGCGGGAAUGUGGCUCUUCGGAGUGUUAUAGCCCGCCGUGUAAUACCCUCGGGUGGACUGAGGACCGCGCGUAUGCAAGGAUGCUGGCGUAAUGGUCGUCAGCGACCCGUCUUGAAACACGGACC
rnacentral:rRNA from 1 species